GCGAAGGGGAGGCGGGGGCCCGAAGGCUUCGGAAAACGAUGGGGGAGGGGGCAGAGGAUACCCGUCGAAGCCCCCCCCUCCCCCAACAUUUCGAUAUUGGAAUCACUUUCCUUCUUCCUCGGGCCAGCCUUUGCUCUGUCCCCUCAGGUCAACUCAAGGUAGACAGUGUGGCGACUGGAGAGGUCGGGGAACAAGCUUUGUUUCAGCUAAGGGGAAAACAAGCGUUCACAGGAGUCCCCUGACACCUCCCACUCGGAAGAUAGCUAACGGGGGUCCUGCCAACCCUUCCCAUCCAACUUCCAUCUGAAAAGGAUUUUCUGCUAAAGUUGGGUCCAUGGCCAUCCAGCACCUGUAAGGCCGGCAGGAGCGUCUGCCCUCUACUCAGUUAAAGCCUGAAGUCGUUUCCUUUCGAUGGCCCUUAGGAGGCCCAAAAGAGGGGCGACAGAACAUGAUGUUGACACGGGCUGGGCGCCCCCAGAAGCCCGGGAACAAACGUUUCUACUUUCCAGGUCCACUGGUGUUUGGUGUACCCAUGUGACUAAUUUGUCCAAAGAGAGGAUUAAAGUCCACUCCUUUUCUUUUGGGGAAGGCAGAAAUUGGAGCAGAAAAAUGAAUACUAAAAUCAAGACUAAAUUAAAAAAAAUUAAAAAUCAGACUGAAACCAGAGGCAUCAAUGUUUAAAAGACACACAAAAAAGGAAGUGGUGUGGGACUUAUCUCAUUCGAGGAGAAGUAGAAAUUCUUCAGAAGGGAAUUGGAGCUUCUGGACCAGGGAGGGACCUAAAGAAGGCCUGAGGCUUGAUGAUUAGAAAGCAUAAUGGUGGUUGAGAGGAAACAAGACAGUGUUGGAGUGGGAUGCCUUUCAAAAAUACACUUCUUCACCCCUUCUUUUAUAGUAUAAAUGCACUCUUUAUUUAGCGUAUGUUUACUUCAUACAUUUUGGAUGAAAUUUGGAAGUAGUUUUCAUAAGUAAAAGAACUGCUCAAGCUAUCACACCUCUCCCAGAGUUCAUAUGAGUCUGGAAGAGACAAGCAUGGCUGAACUUAAGAAGGGGACUAGGCAGAAUGGACAUAGGUGCUCUGUCAUACACUACUAGUUGGAGUGGGAUCUAGACCAGCAGAGAACUUUUAAGUAGAAGGCACUUAGGCUAUUUCUCAGGCUUCUUCCCAUAGAAUAAUGAGGAAUUCAAUUUCCAUCCACUCCUAAGGGGCAAGAAGAAUGAGUACUGCCAGCCACUAGUCCAUAUAGUUUUAUAUAAUUUACUACAAAACAUACCCGUUCCUCAAGAUAUUUGACUUCCAUCUGGUUAGAUAAAUGCCAUAAUAAAUAUACAAAUAUAUGGAAUUCAUGUGAAUGGAGAUAUCGUUGCCUUAUAUGUGGCCAUUGUACAUUGUACAUUUCAUACAAUCUGUAUUACUGUUCAUGGUGACCUUACCUGGCAAAUUUGGAUUGCAAGAAUAUCCUGAAAAGAACAUGUCAAUUCAAAAAAGUUGGUCACCUUACCUAGGAAACAGAAGAAAGAGAAUCCCUGGGGAAAACGUUAACAUUGUCCAUGCAGUCAUUCUUCUGGAAGAGUUGGAUUUACAGGUCUGUCUGUCCCCAUAGUUUGAUGAUCAUAUCAUACUAACUUACCCUGGUUCUGCUUAGCAUCUGAAUCAUGCUAUAAUUCCUUUACAUUGGCUGCUUACUCACCUGCUAGCUGUAGUUUGACCGCCAUGACUUGAGCUGACUAGGCUAAGUUACCUGCUCUGUGUGUUUAUUCUGUCUCAUUUAAAUGCCUUCAUUUUGCCUUCUGGUGCCAAUGUUUUUGUUGUUUUUUUAAUAUGUGUCCCCUCCGAAACUCAUGUAGAAAUUUAACCCUCAAUGUGGCAGUAUUGACAGAUGGGUUUUUAAGAAGUUACUGGGUUAUGAGGGCCCUGUCCUUGUGGAUUAAUAUAUUAAUGGGUUAAUGGGUUCUCAUGGGAUUAAUGAGUAAUCAUCUCUGUGUCCCUGGAUAACUUUGUAUAGCAGAGCCACUUUGCCAGCCCUGAAAUGCUCACUUUUUGGAUGGUUACUAGUGUGUACUAAACUUAUGCUUUAUUUCCCUAACGACAUUUUGGAGCCUCUUCAUCACAGCAACUUAACUUAUACCUGACAAGUAGCAGUUCAUUCUACAGAUAGACUGUCUCAGCAUGGUGGGUCACAUGGCAUUUCUUAAAUCAUGAGAACUUCCUAUUGACCAACCUGAACUGGGGGAUAGGGUGGUAGACAAAAAGCAACAAAUAUCUACUACAAAAGAUUUUACAAAUUUUUAUAUUUAAAAAAAGCUCUGAAGCAGAUACCCCCAGUUUAAAAAGAAGAUGAAGGUAGCACCUUAGUGAAAC
rnacentral:lncRNA from 10 species